GGGGCCCUUUCUACUCAGGCACAGGGAGGGGCAGCUCAGAACGUGAGGGGGGGGGGGGGGGGGGGUGUUUGUGGUCCUGGGUGAUUCUCUGCAACAACAACUAAAAUGGAUUUUAAAAAGGAAAGUGUAACGAUGGUCCUUCUGUGUUAGCGGUUGAAAAUGUGGUUUUGUCAGGUCUUCCUCUUCUGAUGCUAUGAUGCCUCGUUCUGUCUGUGUGUAGUCUGGUGCUGUGAGGUUACUAGGCUUCACAGACAACAGUCUGGUUACUAGGCUUCACAGACAACAGUCUGGUUACUAGGCUUCACAGACAACAGUCUGGUGCUGUGAGGUUACUAAGCUUCACAGACAACAGUCUGGCGCUGUGAGGUUACUAAGCUUCACAGACAACAGUCUGGUUACUAGACUUCACAGACAACAGUCUGGUUACUAAGCUUCACAGACAACAGUCUGGCGCUGUGAGGUUACUAAGCUUCACAGACAACAGUCUGGUGCUGUGAGGUUACUAGGCUUCACAGACAACAGUCUGGCGCUGUGAGGUUACUAGGCUUCACAGACAACAGUCUGGUUACUAGGCUUCACAGACAACAGUCUGGUUACUAGGCAACAUUAUGACACUCCUUCCUGUCUGAAAGCGUCCCCAUGUUCAGAAUUAUAUUUGCAUUCUCACUCUAGUCUUUAUUUACACAUUUAAUAUUUCCUGGGAGCUGCUUGUGUCUGGAUGGUGUGCUAACCUGUUUGACAUUAUAAUAAUGUAAUAUAAUUUAUAUCGUUUGUAUUAUCCUAACAUAAUAUUGUGGGUCUUUUUAUUCUGUAAUUUCUUCCUGGGGGGUUUUAUAGGAUCCGGGGGGGGGGGGGGUAUAUUAACACCAGUCUAAACCAGCUUCACCUGGAGCUGCUAUGGGACAAUAAAAUGGAUCACUUUCAGCGC